rnacentral:tRNA from 1 species
GGCCCCGAGGUGAUUUAGCAUAUUGAAUUGCAAAUUCAAAGAAGCAGCUUCAAUUCUGCCGGGGCUU